UUGAUCCUGGCUCAGAUUGAACGCUGGCGGCAGGCUUAACACAUGCAAGUCGAGCGGAGCGAGGGUGCUUGCACCUUAGCUUAGCGGCGGACGGGUGAGUAAUGCUUAGGAAUCUGCCUAUUAGUGGGGGACAACAUUCCGAAAGGAAUGCUAAUACCGCAUACGCCCUACGGGGGAAAGCAGGGGAUCUUCGGACCUUGCGCUAAUAGAUGAGCCUAAGUCGGAUUAGCUAGUUGGUGGGGUAAAGGCCUACCAAGGCGACGAUCUGUAGCGGGUCUGAGAGGAUGAUCCGCCACACUGGGACUGAGACACGGCCCAGACUCCUACGGGAGGCAGCAGUGGGGAAUAUUGGACAAUGGGCGGAAGCCUGAUCCAGCCAUGCCGCGUGUGUGAAGAAGGCCUUUUGGUUGUAAAGCACUUUAAGCGAGGAGGAGGCUACUUAGAUUAAUACUCUAGGAUAGUGGACGUUACUCGCAGAAUAAGCACCGGCUAACUCUGUGCCAGCAGCCGCGGUAAUACAGAGGGUGCGAGCGUUAAUCGGAUUUACUGGGCGUAAAGCGUGCGUAGGCGGCU
rnacentral:rRNA from 1 species